rnacentral:lncRNA from 1 species
AGCCCCUCGCCGGGCGGACCCACCGAGCCCGCGCUCAGACGCCCCAGCUCCGCCGAGAGGCCGCUCGCGCCGUAUCCUUCCUCUUCUCCAGGUGCAGGCAGAGCCCCCCAGCCGUGGCCAGCCCUUCCGGCAGCUCCGAAGCCACUGGCAAGCCCCGAGGCAGGGAUGGCCGGCCCAGGAGGGAGGAGGACGACGUCCCUCCCGAAGAGAAGAGGCUGCGGCUGUAGCUGGAGGGGGGAAGCGCAGAACCCGAGGACUGCGAGGACGGGGAGGACGCGCCGCGGCCAGGCAGGGAGGAGACCGGCACCCAGACAGGUGGCGAAGGCAGAGGAGAAGGAAAAUACAUGUACAGCCAACUUCCUUGAGGGUUCGUUCUUUUGCAUCAGGGUGUCUCAAACUGAUGCCCUUAAAACACCUGUAAGAGAAUCAUCCAGGCGGCUUGCUUGCUCUGCAUGCAGGCCCUUUAGAAUCAGACUCAGAAUCCCUGGGGCUGGAGCCACAAAAUGAAAUGACAUUUCAACGAGUUUGUCAUCAUGUGAGAGAGAAUAGGCACAGAGAAGUUGCCCAUGACUCUGUGAUCCGUUUUGUCCAAUGAACCAUGAGCAGCAGCAACUUGAGUCACCUCCAGGUGGAAGUGUUAAGAGGUUGCUCUAUGAUCCACCACAUUCCCUUUGCCCUGAAGUGGAGAUCAAGGACACAUGCAGAGAUGGGGCUUUUGUCAGCCUGGAUCCCUGAGUGAACACAAUGAACAGACCACCCCAGAAUGCCCUAACACAGCCCAGACAUGCAACGUGACCAAGAAUAAGCCUCACUGUGGCCAGGCAUGGUGGCUCAUGCCUGUCAUCCCAGCACUUUGGGAGGCCAAGGUGGGUGGAUCAUUUGAGGUCAGGAGUUCAAGACCAACCUGGCUAACAGGGUGAAAUCCUGUCUCUACUAAGUACAAAGAUUAGCCAGACAGUGGUGGCAUGGGCCUGUAAUCCCAGCUACUCAGGAGGCAGGAGAAUCACUUGAGUCUGGGAGGCAGAGGUUGCAGUGAGCUGAGAUUGCACCACUGCACUCUAGUCUGGGUGACAGAGUGAGACCCUGUCUC